GAUGAACGCUGGCGGCGUGCCUAAUACAUGCAAGUCGAGCGAAUGGAUUAAGAGCUUGCUCUUAUGAAGUUAGCGGCGGACGGGUGAGUAACACGUGGGUAACCUGCCCAUAAGACUGGGUUAACUCCGGGAAACCGGGGCUAAUACCGGAUAACAUUUUGAACCGCAUGGUUCGAAAUUGAAAGGCGGCUUCGGCUGUCACUUAUGGAUGGACCCGCGUCGCAUUAGCUAGUUGGUGAGGUAACGGCUCACCAAGGCAACGAUGCGUAGCCGACCUGAGAUGGUGAUCGGCCACACUGGGACUGAGACACGGCUGAGACUCCUACGGGAGGCAGCAGUAGGGAAGCUUCCGCAAUGGACGAAAGUCUGACGGAGCAACGCCGCGUGAGUGAUGAAGGCUUUCGGGUCGUAAAACUCUGUUGUUAGGGAAGAACAAGUGCUAGUUGAAUAAGCUGGCACCUUGACGGUACCUAACCAGAAAGCCACGGCUAACUACGUGCCAGCCGCCGCGGUAA
rnacentral:rRNA from 1 species